CUGCCGCAGCUCGCGGUUGUCCCAUGGACGGAGGACAGACGCGAUGCGGUCGGAGUGAGGGGGGCCGCAGUGAAUGUGGGUCUACUGCCAGAUGCGCGCGGCGCGGCGGAGAUGCAGUGCAGGGGAGGAGUAAUGGCGAAGCGCACACGUUUGGUGGGAGCGGGGGUGGCCGGUUGGCAGGGGACAUCAGCGCAAGGUUCUGGAACCACAAUAACUGAGGCUGGGCGGGGUCUCCUCUGUGUUCCUGCCGGCGGCGGAGGCAGAGGUGGACAGGGCGGGGCGCGUCGGCCAAGGCGAAAUAGGGCUUGGAAGGGAGGUAGCGGGCUGAUCUAUCGAUCUGCGGUGGAGGAAAGAGGUGGGAAGCUGGGUCGAGGUGGGGGGGUCGGCUGCAAUGGCGGGGAGGAGGCACUCGCUCGCCAUGGUGCGCCAACUGAAUUGUUUGCUGUAUAUUUGACAAGAGCAAACGACUAUCAAAACGAACUCGUUUGA
rnacentral:misc_RNA from 1 species